GGCUCGUUGGUCUAGGGGUAUGAUUCUCGCUUAGGGUGCAAGAGGUCGCGGGUUCAAAUCCCGGACGAGCCC
rnacentral:tRNA from 1 species